rnacentral:rRNA from 1 species
GACGAACCGUGCGAACGUUGUUCGGAUUCACUGGGCUUAAAGGGCGCGUAGGCGGGCAUUCAAGUCAGGGGUGAAAGCCCCCGGCCUAACCGGGGAAGUGCCUCUGAGACUGAGUGUCUCGAGGGGGGUAGGGGCAGUUGGAACUCUCGGUGGAGCGGUGAAAUGCGUAGAUAUCGGGAGGAACGCCGGUGGCGAAAGCGGGCUGCUGGACCACUUCUGACGCUGAGGCGCGAAAGCCAGGGGAGCGAACGGG